rnacentral:rRNA from 1 species
ACGGGGUGCAGCAGGCGCGAAACCUUUACAAUGCACGAAAGUGUGAUAAGGGAAUCCUAAGUGCUCAUGCAUAGCAUGGGCUUUUGCUAAGGGUAAAUACCUUGGAGAAUAAGCAGUGGGCAAGACUGGUGCCAGCAGCCGCGGUAACACCAGCGCUGCAAGUGGGGAUCUUUUUUAUUGGGCCUAAAGCGUCCGUAGCUGGUUUAGUAAAUCUUUUGUGAAAUCGUUAAGCUCAACUUAACGGCAUGCAGGAGACACUGCUUGACUUGAGACCGGGAGAGGUAAGGAGUAUUUUGGGGGAACCGGUAAAAUGGGAUAAUCCUCGAAGGACUACCUGUGGCGAAGGCGCCUUACCAGAACGGAUCUGACAGUGAGGGACGAAGGCUAGGGGAGCAAACCGGAUUAGAUACCCGAGUAGUCCUAGCAGUAAACGCUGCGAGCAAGGCGCUGCAUAUUCUAAUGGAAUAUGCAGUGUCGUAACGAAGGUGUUAAGCUCGCCGCCUGGGAAGUAUGGUCGCAAGACUGAAACUUAAAGGAAUUGGCGGGGGAGCAC